GUAAAGCCUGCUGGGGAUACUGUUAGACUUGAGACCGGGAAAGGGUAGGGGUACUUUUCGGGUAGGGGUGAAAUCCUGUAAUCCGAAGGGACCACUGUGGCGAAAGCGCCUACCUGGAACGGGUCUGACGGUGAGGGACGAAAGCUAGGGGAGCAAUCGGGAUUAGAUACCCCGGUAGUCCUAGCCGUAAACAUUGCCCUCUUGGUGUUGCAGGCUUCUCGGGAGCUUGCAGUGCCGGAGCGUAGGUGUUAAGAGGGCCACCUGGGAAGUAUACCCGCAAGGGUGAAACUUAAGGGAAUUGGCGGGGGAGCACACAAGGGGUGGGCGUUGCGGUUCAAUUGGAUUCAACGCCGGACAUCUUACCAGGUGCGACAGCAGGAUGAAGGUCAGUCUGAAGGGCUUACCUAACAAGCUGAGAGGUGGUGCAUGGCCAUCGUCAGCUCGUACCGUGAGGCGUGCCGUUAAGUCGGUUAACGAGCGAGACCCACAUCCCAUGUUGCUACUUGUUUCUUCGGAGGCAAGGCACUCAUGGGAGACUGCCAGCGAUAAGUUGGAGGAAGGAGUGGGCGACGGUAGGUCCGUAUGCCCCAAAUCUCCUGGGCUACACGCGACGCACAAUGCAUGCCACAAUGGGAUGCAAUCGCGAAAGCGAAAGCUAAUCCCCUAAAAGCAUGCUCAGUUCAGAUUGAGGGCUGUAACUCGCCCUCAUGAAGCCGG
rnacentral:rRNA from 1 species